CGCCACUGAGCGACAUGGUGAGAAGAAGAGACCUCGCCACAAAAUGAUGCUCUUGCAACAGGCCUGCUUUUUGAUUUCAGUCAUCUUUUGAUUUGUUUCUUUCACAUCUUCAAUACUUGUUGCACUCCCUGUCCCAGAUACCGAGGGUUUUCUUCUCUAUAUAUUAGCUGGAUACUCUGGUUUGCCUCUUUCCAAUGCAAUAGAAGGCUGCGUGCAUAUUAUCCUUCUCAAAGCCCGCAAUGUCAAAUCCCCAAGUGUACCAGGACAACUUUGUGUAGGAUGCUCUGCUUUACAGAUUGUUUUGUUGCUUGCUUCUUGCUAUCAGCUGUGCACUCCAUCACAAUCUCACCUUAAAUAUGUUAAUGUGUUGUUUUUG
rnacentral:misc_RNA from 1 species